AUGGUCCCGAUGUGCUUAAUCGGACCAGUUUGGCAUGGUCCCGAUGUGGUUCGAUUAAGCGGG
rnacentral:miRNA from 1 species